rnacentral:rRNA from 1 species
CACGUAGGGUGCGAGCGUUGUCCGGAAUUAUUGGGCGUAAAGAGCUCGUAGGCGGUGUGUCGCGUCGGCCGUGAAAACCUGCAGCUUAACUGUGGGCUUGCGGUCGAUACGGGCAUCACUGGAGUUCGGCAGGGGAGACUGGAAUUCCUGGUGUAGCGGUGAAAUGCGCAGAUAUCAGGAGGAACACCGGUGGCGAAGGCGGGUCUCUGGGCCGAUACUGACGCUGGAGGAGCGGAAA